UACGUAGGCAGCAAGCGUUGUUCGGAGUUACUGGGCGUAAAGGGUGCGUAGGCGGCUUGGUAAGUGUGGUGUGAAAUCUCCCGGCUCAACUGGGAGGGUGCGCUACAAACUGCCGGGCUAGAGUGCGGGAGAGGAGAAUGGAAUUCCCGGUGUAGCGGUGAAAUGCGCAGAUAUCGAGGAAGACACCCGUGGCUAAGGCGGUCUCCUGGACGGUACUGACGCUGAGACGCGAAAGCGUGGGGAGCGAACAGG
rnacentral:rRNA from 1 species